rnacentral:lncRNA from 1 species
UUGAGAAUGUGUGUUGCCCACUGAAGGUGCCAUACUGUCCCAUCAAGGGCCCUGAGCCAGUUCCUCCAUGCGGGCUGCAGGGUGUGAGUAAUGAGGUGUGGAUUUCAGCGUCCUGACUCUAGCACAGCAGAUAAGCCACACGUCCAGAUUUCCAUCAGGGCAGGUCAAGGGAAAUUUCAGGACAUUGGUAGGAUAGAGAAAGUCUACAAACUUUCUACAAAUCAGAACAGCUUUAAACGUCUCAACAGUAAUCCCAAAGUGCUGGGAUUAAAGGCAUGAGCCACCAUGCCUGGCCAACUAAAUUAUUGAGUGGGUCAGAGGAUGGUAAGAGGCGGAGGGUAGGGCAUUGGAGGAGGGGGAUGCUGUGAUUUUACAUAGAUUGGUCAGGGGCAACUUCGCAGACAAGAUGACGUUGGUUUUUGAGCAUCUCCUCGUUGUUUCAUCUAUUGACGUGCUGAUGUCCUUGUAUUUGCUUCAGUAUAAUUGGUGCUAAUGGAUGGCUGUCUCUUGAACC